GACGAACGCUGGCGGCGUGCCUAAUACAUGCAAGUCGAGCGAAUCGAUGGGAGCUUGCUCCCUGAGAUUAGCGGCGGACGGGUGAGUAACACGUGGGUAACCUGCCUGUAAGACUGGGAUAACUUCGGGAAACCGGAGCUAAUACCGGAUACUUUCUUUUCUCGCAUAAGGGAAGAUGGAAAGAUGGUUCUGCUAUCACUUACAGAUGGACCCGCGGCGCAUUAGCUAGUUGGUGAGGUAACGGCUCACCAAGGCGACGAUGCGUAGCCGACCUGAGAGGGUGAUCGGCCACACUGGGACUGAGACACGGCCCAGACUCCUACGGGAGGCAGCAGUAGGGAAUCUUCCGCAAUGGACGAAAGUCUGACGGAGCAACGCCGCGUGAGCGAAGAAGGCCUUCGGGUCGUAAAGCUCUGUUGUUAGGGAAGAACAAGUACGAGAGUAACUGCUCGUACCUUGACGGUACCUAACCAGAAAGCCACGGCUAACUACGUGCCAGCCGCCGCAGUAA
rnacentral:rRNA from 1 species